rnacentral:rRNA from 1 species
UACGUAGGGUGCGAGCGUUGUCCGGAAUUAUUGGGCGUAAAGGGCUCGUAGGCGGUUUGUCGCGUCGGGAGUGAAAGCCUUGGGCUUAACUCAGGGCUUGCUUUCGAUACGGGCAGACUAGAGGUAUGCAGGGGAGAACGGAAUUCCUGGUGUAGCGGUGAAAUGCGCAGAUAUCAGGAGGAACACCGGUGGCGAAGGCGGUUCUCUGGGCAUGAUCUGACGCUGAGGAGCGAAAGUGUGGGGAGCGAGCAGG